AACGAACGCUGGCGGCAGGCCUAACACAUGCAAGUCGAACGCUCUAGCAAUAGAGAGUGGCGCACGGGUGCGUAACGCGUGGGAAUAUGCCCUUGACUACGGAACAACAUCGGGAAACUGAUGCUAUUACCGUAUAAUGUCUUCGGACCAAAGAUUUAUCGGUCAAGGAUUAGCCCGCGUCUGAUUAGCUAGUUGGUGAGGUAAUGGCUCACCAAGGCGACGAUCAGUAGCUGGUCUGAGAGGAUGAUCAGCCACACUGGGACUGAGACACGGCCCAGACUCCUACGGGAGGCAGCAGUGAGGAAUAUUGGACAAUGGGCGCAAGCCUGAUCCAGCCAUGCCGCGUGAGUGAUGAAGGCCUUCGGGUUGUAACGCUCUUUCAGAUGCGAAGAUAAUGACGGUAACAUCAGAAGAAGCCCCGGCUAAA
rnacentral:rRNA from 1 species